UGUUCCUCAGUUGUUCUUUUCAAGUUACCUAUGGAAACAUUGCAAAGAUAAGACAAAACUGUAUGACAUUGUACAGGACCAAGCAACAAGAUCUAUAUUUCAUUAUUGUCAAAGCUAAAAAAGAACUUAGAUUUAUUCAAAACCCUCAGCUCUUUCCCUUAGUGGAAUCAAUUUCUUUUAAACCCAUCACUGAAGAAUCAAGGGAAAAUCAGAAAUGCCUAAGGCAACAGUCUCAAGAGAAACUACCACCUCCAGGUAAAU
rnacentral:lncRNA from 1 species